rnacentral:rRNA from 1 species
AAUGAACGUUGGCGGCGUGGAUUAGGCAUGCAAGUCGUACGGGCCGCAAGGCCAGUGGCGCAAGGGUGAGUAAGGCGACGGCAACCAACCCCAUGGCUGGGUAUAGCCGCGGGAAACCGCGGGUAAUCCCCAGCGACGCAUCGGGCCGGCAUCGGCCCGCUGCCAAAGCUCCGGCGCCGUGGGACGGGCCGUCGUGGUAUUAGGUAGUUGGCGGGGUAACGGCCCACCAAGCCGACGAUGCCUACCGGGCGUGCGAGCGUGGCCCGGCACACUGGGA